CAUGGACGCCGGCGUCACGUCAUUCCGGUCAAUACUCGACAAACCCCUUACUCAGCUCACGGAAGAAGACAUUUCCCAGCUCACCCGCGAAGAUUGCCGCAAAUACCUCAAAGAAAAAGGAAUGCGGAGACCUUCUUGGAACAAAUCACAAGCGAUCCAGCAAGUAAUCUCCCUCAAAGCACUCCUUGAAACUAGUGAAGAUUCCGGCGCCGGUGCUCUCCGGAAAAUCUUAGUUUCCAAACCACCGGCUACUUCAAAUUCGGUUGAUUCAAUUAAGGAACCCAGUGAUAGAAAUAACAGUGCAAUUUCUGGGUCUUUAGAUGAGAUAGCUCCGUGCCGGCAGAAUGAUUCUCCGAAAUCCACUCCUCCAGGACAGUUGGAUUGCCAAGCGGAAGAGGCAGAUGAUCAAGCUAUUGCUUCCAGAAGUCCUGGUGCAACAGAUGGAUUAGUCGGGCAAUUGACAAUUUUCUAUUGCGGAAAGGUGAAUGUGUAUGAUGGAGUCCCAUCUGAUAAGGCCCAGGCAAUCAUGCAUCUUGCAGCAAGUCCAAUUCAGUCACCUCUGGAUGAUCCAAUUCAUAGACCUGCAUUUUCAUUUCCAUGUCAUUUUCAGACCCCCAGUGAUAAACAUGGCCUUCUUUCUUCUAAUGCUGCAAUCGCUCAGACCACUCUAACAGAGAAGACAACAGAAUAUUCUCAUCAGUGUAGGGAGAAAGCCAACAUGACUCAUGACCCUGAGGUUCAAGCAAACCGAAAAAUGUUGUUGAAGAAAUAUCUGGAGAAGAAAAAAGAUAGAUUUAAGGCCAGGAAAAAUGCGGGUCCUACUUCUUCUGGCUUGGAAACAUAUUUGAACCAUCAUAUGAGGAUGCAUACCUCAAAUGGACAAUCAACCAGGAGCAGCACAAGCUCCCCGCCCC
rnacentral:misc_RNA from 1 species